GACGAACGCUGGCGGCGUGCUUAACACAUGCAAGUCGAACGGAAAGGCCCUGCUUUUGUGGGGUGCUCGAGUGGCGAACGGAUGAGUAACACGUGAGUAACCUGCCCUUGACUUUGGGAUAACUUCAGGAAACUGGGGCUAAUACCGGAUAGGAGCUCCUGCUGCAUGGUGGGGGUUGGAAAGUUUCGGCGGUUGGGGAUGGACUCGCGGCUUAUCAGCUUGUUGGUGGGGUAGUGGCUUACCAAGGCUUUGACGGGUAGCCGGCCUGAGAGGGUGACCGGCCACAUUGGGACUGAGAUACGGCGCAGACUCCUACGGGAGGCAGCAGUGGGGAAUAUUGCACAAUGGGCGGAAGCCUGAUGCAGCAACGCCGCGUGCGGGAUGACGGCCUUCGGGUUGUAAACCGCUUUCGCCUGUGACGAAGCGUGAGUGACGGUAAUGGGUAAAGAAGCACCGGCUAACUACGUG
rnacentral:rRNA from 1 species